CGCGAGUUUUGUUCAUGAGGGUGCUUCGCAUGCACAGGCCGGACUUGGCCCUGCAGCUCGGAGGGUUUUGCUUUCUCCCCAUUGUGGGAUCCAGAUCCGGUAUUACACGAGCAAGGUAAUUGACAACCUGCGUGAGGAUUUCGGGCCAGAUGACUUCUUGUCAGCACUGCUUCUCAUGGGCGUGUUCUCAGUGGGAAGGUGAGAAGUAUCCUGACCCCCAAAACGUCAGAUGCCUGCAUAAUCCAGGCGCCGAUGAAACAUAAUUACCAUGUGUACGCCUAAAUGCC